AUGCUCACUUCAGCAGUACAUAUACUAAAAUUGGAAAGAUACAGAGAUUAGCAUGGCUCCUGUACAAGGAUGACAUGCAAAACUCCAGGUGUAGAUGAUUUCACU
rfam:Canis lupus familiaris chromosome 27, whole genome shotgun sequence.